CCUACGGGAGGCAGCAGUGGGGAAUAUUGGACAAUGGGGGCAACCCUGAUCCAGCCAUGCCGCGUGUGUGAAGAAGGCCCUCGGGUUGUAAAGCACUUUCAGUGAGGAAGAACGCCUGGUGGUUAAUACCCAUCAGGAAAGACAUCACUCACAGAAGAAGCACCGGCUAACUCCGUGCCAGCAGCCGCGGUAAUACGGAGGGUGCGAGCGUUAAUCGGAAUUACUGGGCGUAAAGCGCGCGUAGGUGGCUUGAUAAGCCGGUUGUGAAAGCCCCGGGCUCAACCUGGGAACGGCAUCCGGAACUGUCAAGCUAGAGUGCAGGAGAGGAAGGUAGAAUUCCCGGUGUAGCGGUGAAGUGCGUAGAGAUCGGGAGGAAUACCAGUGGCGAAGGCGGCCUUCUGGACUGACACUGACACUGAGGUGCGAAAGCGUGGGUAGCAAACAGGAUUAGAUACCCGAGUAGUC
rnacentral:rRNA from 1 species